rnacentral:lncRNA from 1 species
UUAUUCUUAUAUCUGUCUUUUCUGUUGAUUUAAAUACACAACUGGAAGAUCUAAAGACGAUUGUUCAGCAGCACAGGCAGCCUGCAGUGGACCAUCAGAGCGUGCCUACAGCUGAAGAAGCUUGCUAGCAUGACGCCUUUGUCACUCUUAAAUUUGAUUUCGCAGAACUCAAAAAGAAGUUGGAUGAUACCAAAAGGAACUGGAGGAGGUACACGCUGAUCUUGUCAUGGUCCUGCAGGAACUUGGUUUGGCAAGAGCUGAGGAUAAAUAUGGAAGGUUAACAUGUGACUUAACUUGGUUACUUCUAAUCGCUUAUAUUAAAAAGCAAAAAAAAAAAAAUCAAACUCCAUGAAAGUCCUGAAGAGUCUCCUGGAUUUGGGAUAAAAUUGAAUUCCAUAUCACCAGGACGCCGUACUGACAAGGUUCUAAGGAAUAGUUAAACUCACUCUGCCUUUUUGCCUUUGGCAGACAGGGCAUGAGCAGAGUCUCAGUGGACCCCAAUGGGCAAAAAGUCAAAUCUCGUGCAACGGGUUCUGGCACAACAAAAACAGAAUAUAUUUGGCCAAUAAAUUUCACAGAAUUAAAAUAGCUAUAUGGUAA